UAUAAUUUUUGACUCUUCGUCUUAUUUAAAUUUUUUUCGAUUGAUAUUUUUGUUUUUACCAGAUAAUAAAUCAUGAAUAGAACUUUAUGUGUGACUAAUUUUUUUCUAAUUUUCUAAAAAAUUUUCAAAUAAGACGAAUAAUCAAAUGUUGGACACGAAAAAUCA
rnacentral:pre_miRNA from 1 species